rnacentral:rRNA from 1 species
GGCUCAGAUUGAACGCUGGCGGCAUGCCUUACACAUGCAAGUCGAACGGCAGCACGGGCAACCUGGUGGCGAGUGGCGAACGGGUGAGUAAUGCAUCGGAACGUGCCAUUGAGUGGGGGAUAACGUAGCGAAAGUUGCGCUAAUACCGCAUAUUCUGUGAGCAGGAAGCAGGGGACCGCAAGGCCUUGCGCUCUUUGAGCGGCCGAUGUCAGAUUAGCUAGUUGGUGAGGUAACGGCUUACCAAGGCGACGAUCUGUAGCGGGUCUGAGAGGAUGAUCCGCCACACUGGAACUGAGACACGGUCCAGACUCCUACGGGAGGCAGCAGUGGGGAAUUUUGGACAAUGGGCGCAAGCCUGAUCCAGCCAUGCCGCGUGAGUGAAGAAGGCCUUCGGGUUGUAAAGCUCUUUCGGCCGGGAAGAAAUCGCAUGGGUUAAUACCCUGUGUGGAUGACGGUACCGGAAUAAGAAGCACCGGCUAACUACGUG